ACGCGCGACGAGUGUAGGUCCGGAUCCCAUGAGUUACCUCCCGGUAAUGUUCAGUUGUCAGUAAAUAGUACGCGCGACGAUGAAAUUUCUCCACGCAGUACGCGUCUCACUUAGAACUAUUUUCAUCGUGACAGUUUUUGUAUCUUCUUGUAGCCUGGGAACACCGUUCAAUUUGUGCGACAGAAACUUAUGCAGCUUCCGUCUCACGCUAUUGUAUGGAAACGGUUGAAUACCGCUUGUAGUUACUUUCUUGCCCUAGAGUUGAACUAGUAAAAGGUGCCCAUGUUGCGAGUGCAGUCGUAACGCUUUGGCGUUGGAUCCGAGCCCAUGGAGAAAGUUGGAGCUGUAGAGCUGUAUUGUCAACGAUGUCCACACACCGGAGUCGGAGAACGCGUAUCAAAUAUUUUAAUUUGACUUUGAAGUUUUCGUCGCUGAGCAUCUGCAAGCCAGCCACAGUGCAAUGGACAUUAUCCUGAUGAGUCAAGACAGUUCCCCCGACUUUGCAAGUUCUGCAUCCUGCAUGCAGCCUAUAUCGUAGAAAUCACUGUCAGGGUCACUGGAUGACAAUUAACUUAUCGUUGUUUAUGUGCACCACGGGCAGAUGAUGGAUUUGCCGCAAGUACGUCGCGAGUUUCUGUAUCCCCGUGACAUCACACUGCUAUGAAACAUCAUCGAGAAGCCGCCCCCUCGACAUCGUAACCAAAAGUGUCUUUUUAAGGUAGCGAUAAAUAAAAUA